rnacentral:rRNA from 1 species
AUGAACGCUAGCGGCAGGCUUAACACAUGCAAGUCGAGGGGCAACACGGGUAGCAAUACCUGGUGGCGACCGGCGCAAGGGUGCGUAACGCGUGAGCAACAUGCCCUAUACGAGGGGGAUAAUCCAGGGAAACUUGGUCUAAUAUCCCAUAGUAUUUAGAGGUGGCAUCACCACUAAAUUAAAGCUUCGGUGGUAUAGGAUUGGCUCGCGUGACAUUAGCUGGAUGGUGGGGUAACGGCUCACCAUGGCGAUGAUGUCUAGGGGUUCUGAGAGGAAGACCCCCCACACUGGGACUGAGACACGGCCCAGACUCCUACGGGAGGCAGCAGUGAGGAAUAUUGGACAAUGGAUGGAAAUCUGAUCCAGCCAUGCCGCGUGCAGGAAGACGGCCCUAUGGGUUGUAAACUGCUUUUAUAUGGGAGCAAUAAGGUUUACGCGUAGACCGAUGAGAGUACCAUAUGAAUAAGCAUCGGCUAACUCCGUG